rnacentral:rRNA from 1 species
CCUUUGCACUGGGAUAGCCUCGGGAAACCGAGGUUAAUACCGGAUACUCCAUAUUUGUCGCAUGGCGAAUAUGGGAAAGCUCCGGCGGCAAAGGAUGGGCCCGCGGCCUGUUAGCUAGUUGGUGGGGUAGUGGCCUACCAAGGCAAUGAUGGGUAGCCGGGUUGAGAGACCGACCGGCCAGAUUGGGACUGAGACACGGCCCAGACUCCUACGGGAGGCAGCAGGC